UACGGGGGGGGCAAGCGUUGUUCGGAAUUACUGGGCGUAAAGGGCGCGUAGGCGGCCUGCUAAGUCGGACGUGAAAUCCCUCGGCUUAACCGAGGAACUGCGUCCGAUACUGAAAGGCUUGAAUCCGGGAGAGGGAUGUGGAAUUCCAGGUGUAGCGGUGAAAUGCGUAGAUAUCUGGAGGAACACCGGUGGCGAAGGCGGCAUCCUGGACCGGCAUUGACGCUGAGGCGCGAAAAGCUAGGGGAGCAAACGGGG
rnacentral:rRNA from 1 species